GACGAACGCUGGCGGCGUGCUUAACACAUGCAAGUCGAACGAAGUGGCGAACGGGUGAGUAAUACGUGGGUAACCUGCCCUCCUUUUCGGGAUAAGCCUUGGAAACGGGGUCUAAUACCGAAUAAAGGGGGAUGGGCUCGUGGCCUAUCAGCUUGUUGGUGGGGUGAUGGACUACCAAGGCGGUGACGGGUAGCCGGCCUGAGAGGGGGACCGGCCACAUUGGGGCUGGGAUGCGGCCCAGACUCCGACGGAGGGCAGCAGUGGGGGAUAUUACGCAAUGGGCGGAAACCUGAUGCAGGAACGCCGCGUGGGGGAUGAAGGCUUGCGGGUUGUAAGCCACUGUCGCUAUCAAACGGGUAGGUGGAGAAGAAGCGCCGGCUAGCUACGUGCCAACAGCCGCGGUAAUUC
rnacentral:rRNA from 1 species